rnacentral:rRNA from 1 species
GACGAACGCUGGCGGCGUGCUUAACACAUGCAAGUCGAACGGAAAGGCCUGCUUUCCCUUGUGGAUUGCGGGUACUCGAGUGGCGAACGGGUGAGUAACACGUGAGUGAUCUGCCCCCAACUUGGGUAUAAGCCUGGGAAACUGGGUCUAAUUCCCGAUAGGACUGCAGGGUGGUGCCUGUGGUGGAAAACGAUUUUCUAGUGGUUGGGGAUGAGCUCGCGGCCUAUCAGCUUGUUGGUGGGGUAAUGGCCUACCAAGGCGGGGACGGGUAGCCGGCCUGGGAGGGUGGACGGCCACAUUGGGACUGAGAUACGGCCCAGACUCCUACGGGAGGCAGCAGUGGGGAAUAUUGCACAAUGGGCGGAAGCCUGAUGCAGCGACGCCGCGGGGGGGAUGACGGCCUUCGGGUUGUAAACUCCUUUCGACCGCGAGGAAGCCACCUGGUUGGAAGGGUGGUGACGGUAGUGGUAGAAGAAGCACCGGCUAACUACGUG